rnacentral:rRNA from 1 species
GAUGAACGCUAGCUACAGGCUUAACACAUGCAAGUCGAGGGACCGGCGCACGGGUGUGUAACACGUCUCCAACCCUCCCUUUACUCGGGGAUAGCCUUUCGAACGAAAGAUUAAUACCCGAUAUAAAGGAUGGGGAUGCGUUGCAUUAGGGUGUUGGUGAGGUAACGGCUCACCAAGCCUUCGCUGGAUAGGGGUUCGGAGAGGAAGGGCCCCCACAUUGGAACUGAGACACGGCCCAAACUGCUACGGGAGGCAGGGGUGAGGUAUAUUGGGGAAUGGGCGCUAGGCUAACCCGGCCAAGUAGCGUGAAGAAUGAAGGCGUAUGGGUCGUUGACUACUGUUAGGUAAGAAUAGGUAUUAGAAGAAUAAGGAUCGGCUAACUCCGUGCCAGCAGCCGCGGUAAUUC